rnacentral:rRNA from 1 species
AUUGAACGCUGGCGGCAUGCUUUACACAUGCAAGUCGAACGGCAGCGCGGGCUUCGGCCUGGCGGCGAGUGGCGAACGGGUGAGUAAUACAUCGGAACGUGCCCAGUAGUGGGGGAUAGCUCGGCGAAAGCCGGAUUAAUACCGCAUACGACCUGAGGGUGAAAGCGGGGGAUCUUCGGACCUCGCGCUAUUGGAGCGGCCGAUGGCAGAUUAGCUAGUUGGUGGGGUAAAGGCCUACCAAGGCGACGAUCUGUAGCUGGUCUGAGAGGACGACCAGCCACACUGGGACUGAGACACGGCCCAGACUCCUACGGGAGGCAGCAGUGGGGAAUUUUGGACAAUGGGCGAAAGCCUGAUCCAGCAAUGCCGCGUGUGUGAUGAAGGCCUUCGGGUUGUAAAGCACUUUUGGCGGGAACGAAAAGGACUGUGCCAAUACCACGGUUCGA